GGCUGGACUCAAUUUGUCCGGCAAGAGAAGACCUCAGAGGUGGCCCUCUGCCCACCUGGGCUGGACAUCUGCUAGCUGAGUGUGCCUCACACCCCUUCUUCACAUGCCCAGAAAACCACCAUGUUGUGAGGAAGCCCGGGCCACAUGGAGAAGCCAUAUACGGAUGUUCCUGCCAAAAGGCCCCUAGCUGGCAACGAGCCUCAAUCAGCGGACAUGCAAGUAAAGGACCCUCUGAAUGACUCCAGUCCCCAGCCUUCAUCAACAACCAUAAUCUGAAGCCCUGGACAUCAUAGAGCAGAGAAUAGCCGUAUUGGUCAUCACUGUCUUUGGUCUGAAUUGCUAAUCAGUAGAAAUCUUGAGAUAAUAAAUGAUGAAGUAAUUUUGCUUCAAGACUUAGCGCAAAAAAA